GACGAACGCUGGCGGCGUGCUUAACACAUGCAGGUCGAACGGAAAGGCCCUGCUUGCAGGGUACUCGCGUGGCGAACGGGUGAGUAACACGUGGGUGAUCUGCCCUGCACUUCGGGAUAAGCCUGGGAAACUGGGUCUAAUACCGGAUAGGAGCCAUUUUUAGUGUGAUGGUUGGAAAGUUUUUUCGGUGUGGGAUGAGCUCGCGGCCUAUCAGCUUGUUGGUGGGGUAAUGGCCUACCAAGGCGGCGGAGGGUAGCCGGCCUGGGAGGGUGGACGGCCAAAUUGGGACUGAGGUACGGCCCAGACUCCUACGGGGGGCAGGAGUGGGGAAUAUUGCACAAUGGGCGCAAGCCUGAUGCAGCGAAGCCGCGUGGGGGAUGACGGCCUUCGGGUUGGAAACUCCUUUCGCUAGGGACGAAGCUUUUUGUGACGGUACCUAGAUAAGAAGCACCGGCUAACUACGUG
rnacentral:rRNA from 1 species